rnacentral:tRNA from 1 species
GUCUCUGUGGCGCAAUCGGUUAGCGCGUUCGACUGUUAACUGAAAUGUUGGUGGUGCAAGCCCACCCAGGGAUG